CAUUGUGUAUACCUAUUGACUAUUCCCUUUCUUUUUGUGGGUGAACGGUUAUAAAUUGGCGUUGAUUCGAAAAAAAUCUAUUGACCUAUUGAUACCAGCCCAACUACAAUGAAAAAUUUUCUAUUAUUCACCGUUCUUGCUUCAAUAACUGUACAGCUAUGCGUUUGUUCCCAUAAGAAAUUAAUGCUAAUAAGCGAGGCGGCAGAAACUACCCCACAAGAAGCAACUGUGAUGGACGCGGCGCCAAAUGUCGAGGUUAUAUCUGAAGCACUACCCGUAAGCCCAGAUUUCGCCGAUACUGCAAUGUUAAUUUAGCAAUUUAGAAUAUAAUGUAACAAUGUAAUUGGCUUGUCGCAGUCACUUGUUUUUAAAGUACUCACAUAAAAGAAAGAAUUUACUUAAUAAAACUUUUUUUUUUAAGUUUUAAUUUCUAUAUUUAUCUUUCCUUUGAAUCCUGAGCAAUUCUGCUAAUAUUAAUUUGUGGCAGUGCAGCAUAUUAGAAUACAUUAAACUGAAUAAUCAAAAACAA